rnacentral:rRNA from 1 species
AUUGAACGCUGGCGGCAGGCCUAACACAUGCAAGUCGAACGGUAACAGGAAGAAGCUUGCUUCUUUGCUGACGAGUGGCGGACGGGUGAGUAAUGUCUGGGAAACUGCCUGAUGGAGGGGGAUAACUACUGGAAACGGUAGCUAAUACCGCAUAAUGUCGCAAGACCAAAGAGGGGGACCUUCGGGCCUCUUGCCAUCGGAUGUGCCCAGAUGGGAUUAGCUAGUAGGUGGGGUAACGGCUCACCUAGGCGACGAUCCCUAGCUGGUCUGAGAGGAUGACCAGCCACACUGGAACUGAGACACGGUCCAGACUCCUACGGGAGGCAGCAGUGGGGAAUAUUGCACAAUGGGCGCAAGCCUGAUGCAGCUAUGCCGCGUGUAUGAAGAAGGCCUUCGGGUUGUAAAGUACUUUCAGCGGGGAGGAAAGGAGUAAAGUUAAUACCUUUGCUCAUUGACGUUACCCGCAGAAGAAGCACCGGCUAACUCCGUG